rnacentral:rRNA from 1 species
UACGAAGGGGGGCUAGCGUUGUUCGGAAUUACUGGGCGUAAAGCGCACGUAGGCGGAUUGUUAAGUUAGGGGUGAAAUCCCAGGGCUCAACCCUGGAACUGCCUUUAAUACUGGCAAUCUCGAGUCCGAGAGAGGUGAGUGGAAUUCCGAGUGUAGAGGUGAAAUUCGUAGAUAUUCGGAAGAACACCAGUGGCGAAGGCGACACACUGGCCCGUUACUGACGCUGAGGCGCGAAAGCGUGGGGAGCAAACAGG